rnacentral:tmRNA from 1 species
CCCCUUUUCUCCGCCCCGACAAGUCCUUAUAUUGCGUAGUGCCGGUGCAAGCUGGCUAUGACGAUAAACGAGUUACGUAAUAAGCCUAUCGGACCCGGGGGCGGUACCCGGCGCCUCCACCAAAGCCCGUCAUGUCAUGGCGUGUUGCCAGGGCGGAUAGCCCGGAAUGGCGGGUUUUGGCGGGGGCGAAAUAGGAUCGACGAGGGUGUAAAGGUAAUUUCUUCGUUCGGCAUGGUACCGCCGUUAUCGGGCCGAAUCAGUAGUUGCAAAUGACAACACUGCUAUGGACAACGCUGUCGCCGCGUAAUGCGGUGCCGGUAGUCCUUUAAGUCCUGUUGGUUAGCCCCUUCAGGCGGGGUCCGGAGGCACCUGGCAACAGAAGCCUCCACU